GAUGAACGCUGGCGGCGUGCCUAAUACAUGCAAGUCGAGCGAACAGACGAGGAGCUUGCUCCUCUGACGUUAGCGGCGGACGGGUGAGUAACACGUGGAUAACCUACCUAGAAGACUGGGAGAACUUCGGGAAACCGGAGCUAAUACCGGAUAAUAUAUUGAACCGCAUGGUUCAAUAGUGAAAGACGGUUUUGCUGUCACUUAUAGAUGGAUCCGCGCCGCAUUAGCUAGUUGGUAAGGUAACGGCUUACCAAGGCGACGAUGCGUAGCCGACCUGAGAGGGUGAUCGGACACACUGGAAGUGAGACGCGGUCCAGACUCCGACGGGAGGCAGGAGUAGGGAAUCAUCCGAAAUGGGAGAAAGCCUGACGGAGCAACGCCGCGUGAGUGAAGAAGGUAUUCGGAUCGUAAAACUCUGUUAUUAGGGAAGAAAAAAUGUGUAAGUAACUAUGCACGUCUUGACGGUACCUAAUCAGAAAGCCACGGCUAACUACGG
rnacentral:rRNA from 1 species